rnacentral:misc_RNA from 1 species
GUUUUUUUCACAUUCCAAUUAUAUUUUUGGGGCAACUUUAAAUUUUGCAUGAAAAAACCUUUAUUACUGCAAAUCAAUGACAGAUAAUGUUAAGAAAAAAGAUAUGUCCCCAAAAACCUGUAAAUCAUCUAUCACCAUUAUUCAAGUGUUGAUGUUAGAAACAGCAUUGUAGAUUCAAUAUUUAAGGGAACAAAAGAUGUAUGAAUGGAAAAUUUAGAAAGGAUGUAUAUACAGAAUGAGAGCAUAUUAAUAUAUUUAUGCUAAUUAUAAUAUCUUUAAUAGAUUGAAUGAUGUGACUUAGAAAAUUUUAACAAUCUUCACACCUUAGAUCUAUAAUAACAGAUUUGUGUUGUGAUGGUUAUUCCCCUAAAAGGGAACUGUGCAAUUUGUAAAUAAAGUAUCAAAUUAU